CCUACGGGUGGCAGCAGUGAGGAAUAUUGGUCAAUGGGCGCGAGCCUGAACCAGCCAAGUAGCGUGAAGGAUGAAUGCCCUACGGGUUGUAAACUUCUUUUACACAGGAAUAAAGUGCAACACUUGUUCCUUUCUGCAUGUACUUUACGAAUAAGGGUCGGCUAACUCCGUUCCAGCAGCCGCGGUAAUACGGAGGACCCGAGCGUUAUCCGGAUUUAUUGGGUGUAAAGUGAGCCUAGAUGGGGUGUUAAGUCAGUUGUGAAAGGUUGCGGCUCAACCGGAAAAUUGCAAUUGAUACUGGCAGCCUUGAGUACAGUUGAGGGAGGCGGAAUUCGUGGUGUAGCGGUGAAAUGCAUAGAUAUCACGAAGAACUCCGAUUGCGAAGGCAGCCUACUAGACUGCGACUGACAUUGAGGCGCGAAAGUGUGGGUAGCAAACAGGAUUAGAUACCCUUGUAGUC
rnacentral:rRNA from 1 species